CCCACGGUGCACUGGUCCUGGUCAGGCUGGCCUGGCACACUGUCGCCUGCAGGCGGCGCUCAUGGGGAAGUGCCUGGGCACCGGGGAUUGCUUGUGGCCCACUCAACUCUUGGGGCGGUGGCCCGUAAUCCGUUUGCCUGAGGCUCUUAUGUCCCUGGAACUGGAGCUUGAGCUCUUGCCUGGAACCCUGCAGCUGCGCCCACCCUGCUUGAUCCCACCUGAGAGGCCAGGACACUGAGGGACUCCGAACCCAGCCCACAGGGAAGCAGGGGGAGCUCCUGCCCUGUGGCGACAGAGCCAGCGUGCACCAGACGCGGGUGCCACGGCGAAGCCGGCGUUCAAGACCACGGAGAAGACAAAUCCUCAUCUAGAAAUGAGGACACCUCAGUGACAAACACCCCUUUUUAUACCGAUCAGUACCUUCUGUUCAUUAAAACGGGCUAUCCAUUACA